UAAGUUGGGAUGACAAGUUGAACUUUGUCGCGUAGAGUAAACCCUAACGUCCUCAGAAGUAUCCAGCUGCAAAUUUUGUCGCUUAGAAAUCACAGUCAACGUAUUGGAGUUAAGCAAAAGCUUAUUCUUAUCAGACUGGAAAGAUUUUGGGAUGGAUCCAGAGGCUGCAAAGACCGCACGAGAAUCUCUGGAUUUGGCAUUUCACAUGUCAAACAUUCUGGACACUGGGCUCGAUCGACACAUGCUUUCAGUACUCAUUGCCCUGUGUGACUUGGGCUUAAAUCCUGAGGCUUUGGCUGCUGUCGUGAAAGAACUCGGAAGAGAAGACUCUUGCUCUCCACCAACCCCUACUGCUCCUUCAUCUGCCCCUUAAACAGGUUUCUGGCAUUAACCAACAUCAGCCUUUUCUCUUCUUUCCAUGUCCAUAGUUGUGUAUGCUGAGAAUCUGUGAUUGGUAUCUUGGUGUUUUGAAGAUGUAAUUGGAAUUGUACUGUAGAUUUAUCAUUAUAAUUACAGUUAAAUUGUUGUGUUUUUAAUGUACUGGAAUUGAAAAUCAAUGCAAGUGUGUAGAAACAUCAUCUUCAC
rnacentral:misc_RNA from 1 species